rnacentral:lncRNA from 1 species
AGAAUGUGCCACCCAUUCAGCCCUCCACACCCAGUGUACAGGAGAGCUUCUUAAACUCCCCCUCCUUCCAUCCUGUUGUGGAGGAGUUGAUCCCACUUCAAGUAGGGGACUUCUUGGCCAUUUUCAACUGGGAUGUGGUGUUGUCAAGGAGGACAGGAGGAUAAAGAACCAGGCAGUAGAGGAAAGUGGAUUACGGAGCAAAGGAACACUUCAGUUGUGAAAAGAGGCUAAUCCGAAAGGCUGCUUGGGGAGAUGGGCAAAUUAAAAAGUCAAAAACAUAUCAGAAAAACUCAUGGACGAGUGAAACACCAGCAACAGCCUUUUGCAGAAAUGGCUAGUUCUGAAGUCUUCGCUGGCUCUCUCUCUGACUGGGGGCCUGCCUUGCUUUCUGAUGUCUGUCUAAAUUAACCCCUGGUUAUUGAAAGUCAAGACCCAUUUGUAUGAGUCAAGAAAGAAGUUGUUCUCCUGAAAUCAUGAUGGCCGUCAACUAUGCAGGAGCAGCCCAGAGUUUCUGGUGAGGUGAGAACAUUGAUUUUCCUGUUGCUUGCACAACUCACCUUUUCACACUCCAGAAAACCUGGCAGAAAACAUGUUGGUGCUCAGGAUCAAGUGACUGAAUUAAGGUUGCCAUGACUCCCUACCUACUUUUGAUGCCAUUUUGUAACAUUGGUGUAAGUGGAGAAAAAGCUAUGAGGAGAGAACGUUGUGUGAUAAGGGAGGGCAUUCUAGCUUACCUCAUGUAAAGGAGGACCAAGAAUUGCACUUAACUCUGCUCUGAAAAAUCCCAUAUUAAUUUUUAAAUGUGUAUUCUACCCCAACGACAGUACUUAAAAAAUACGUAUUUUUUAAUUUCGGAAGAUAUUUCCUUCUGAUAUUAAAUGUUUCAAGACAGAAUAGAGUAGUAGAUAAUACCCACUUACCUCUGGGCUGGCACCCACUUACCUCUGUGCAACUACGGGCAAGCUAUUUGACCUCCUUUUGCCUCAGCUUUACCAUUCAUAAUAUGAAGACAAUAAUAAAUACUAUAUUAUGAAGUUGGUGUGAGGAUUAAGUUAGACAAUCCAUAGAAAUCCAGUGAGAAAAGUGUUUGGGACAUAUAAACACUCAAAAACUAUUAGUUUACAUAGAGGAAAUCGGAGACCAUUGGGGCAGAGGUGGCAACAUAAUUUUUGGAUCUUUCCAAAUGCUGCAUAAAAAAAGACAUAGACAACUAGAUAAAAAGAUAAAAAACCCUAUGAACAACACAAAAAAGUGACAAAAUAUUCCCAUUAACUCCAAAAAUAUAAGCAGAUGGGAGCAGAUUAUCAAUAGCCACAAGAACUAGAUGUUUUCAGCUUCCACGAAGGGGGAAGCAAUGGGAAGCACCAGACAUCUGUCAGACCUGAGAACAGGAGAGUCCCCGCAACGUCAACAGCUAUCCACUAAAAGUGCAGAAUGCCAGUUUGAGAAAUGGAGAGAUUUUGCCCGAUCUAACAGCAGUGCAAAUAGUCUGAGAGUAAGGACUGGGGGCACUGGAGCAGGCUAGCCCUUGUGAACCCUCAUCACAUAUUUGUCAUGGUUCCAUUCAUAAUAGAACCCCAUAUUGAGGAGAAGCAAGUAGAUUUGAAUGGAAGUUGAGGAUAGAGACAAUACAGUUGAAGGAAAGAGAAGGUCCAUAUAAAAAUAGAUGAGGAGAAAGAUCCAGAAAAUCUCAAAAAAAAAAAAAAA